GCAGUAAUCGGGAACCCAGGUUUUAUACAUUACGAAGGCACGUUUCCAUUUCUCCUGGGCAAAUAUUUAGAAGAAAAGUUGCUGGGUAAUUGAAGCACUGAGACCACAGAGGCAAGAGCUGGGGAAGGAAAACUGCCCAUGAGAUGAGAUGUGCCUCUCAGCUUCCAAAAUCGGGGAGAUGCCCCCCAUGGAAUCCAGCCAUCAUGCUGUGAGGAAUCCAAGCAGCUACAUAGAAAGGCCACAACUAGAUAUUCCAGCUGUAGUCAGCUGAAGCUCCAGCCAACAGCCAACAUCAACCACCACGCGUGAAAACGAGCAAGUCUUCAGAUGAUUCCGACUCCCAACCUUCAAGCCACCUCAGCUGAAGCCAAGUAGAGCAGAGACUAGCUGUCCCCCAAUGCUCUAAUAUGCAGAUUCAUAAUUAAAAAGAAUGUUAUUGUUCUAA
rnacentral:antisense_RNA from 1 species